UGGGGAAUUUUGGACAAUGGGCGAAAGCCUGAUCCAGCAAUGCCGCGUGAGUGAAGAAGGCCUUCGGGUUGUAAAGCUCUUUUGUCAGGGAAGAAACGGUGAGAGCUAAUAUCUCUUGCUAAUGACGGUACCUGAAGAAUAAGCACCGGCUAACUACGUGCCGGCAGCCGCGGUAAUACGUAGGGUGCAAGCGUUAAUCGGAAUUACUGGGCGUAAAGCGUGCACAGGCGGUUUUGUAAGUCUGAUGUGAAAUCCCCGGGCUCAACCUGGGAAUUGCAUUGGAGACUGCAAGGCUAGAAUCUGGCAGAGGGGGGUAGAAUUCCACGUGUAGCAGUGAAAUGCGUAGAUAUGUGGAGGAACACCGAUGGCGAAGGCAGCCUACUACGGGGUGAUUGACACUGAGGCACGAGAGCAUGGGGAGCAAACA
rnacentral:rRNA from 1 species